AGAGUUUGAUCAUGGCUCAGAACGAACGCUGGCGGCAUGCCUAAUACAUGCAAGUCGAACGAGAUCUUCGGAUCUAGUGGCGCACGGGUGCGUAACGCGUGGGAAUCUGCCCUUGGGUUCGGAAUAACGUCGGGAAACUGACGCUAAUACCGGAUGAUGACGUAAGUCCAAAGAUUUAUCGCCCAGGGAUGAGCCCGCGUAGGAUUAGCUAGUUGGUGGGGUAAAGGCCUACCAAGGCGACGAUCCUUAGCUGGUCUGAGAGGAUGAUCAGCCACACUGGGACUGAGACACGGCCCAGACUCCUACGGGAGGCAGCAGUAGGGAAUAUUGGACAAUGGGGGCAACCCUGAUCCAGCAAUGCCGCGUGAGUGAUGAAGGCCUUAGGGUUGUAAAGCUCUUUUACCAGAGAUGAUAAUGACAGUAUC
rnacentral:rRNA from 1 species